ACCCUUCUCUAGCUCAGUUGGUUGGAGCGUGGUGCUGAUAAUGCCAAGGUCAGAGGUUCGAUCCCUGUAGAGGACA
rnacentral:tRNA from 1 species